rnacentral:rRNA from 1 species
ACGCGAAGAACCUUACCCAGACUUGACAUGCAGUGGAAUAUGGCAGAAAUGUCAUAGCCCGCAAGGGCUGCUGCACAGGUGCUGCAUGGCUGUCGUCAGCUCGUGCCGUGAGGUGUUGGGUUAAGUCCCGCAACGAGCGCAACCCUUAUCACUAGUUGCCAGCACGUAAUGGUGGGAACUCUAGUGAGACUGCCUGGGUUAACCAGGAGGAAGGUGAGGAUGACGUCAAGUCCGCAUGGCCCUUAUGUCUGGAGCUACACACGUGCUACAAUGGUCGGUACAGAGGGAUGCCAAGCCGCGAGGCGGAGCCAAUCCACAAAGCCGGCCCCAGUUCAGAUUGUAGUCUGCAACUCGACUACAUGAAGUUGGAAUUGCUAGUAAUGGCGUGUCAGCUAUAGCGCCGUGAAUACGUUCCCGGGUCUUGUACACACCG